rnacentral:rRNA from 1 species
UACGAAGGGGGCUAGCGUUGUUCGGAAUCACUGGGCGUAAAGCGCACGUAGGCGGAUUGCUAAGUCAGGGGUGAAAUCCUGGAGCUCAACUCCAGAACUGCCUUUGAUACUGGCAACCUUGAGUCCGGGAGAGGUGAGUGGAACUGCGAGUGUAGAGGUGAAAUUCGUAGAUAUUCGGAAGAACACCAGUGGCGAAGGCGGCUCACUGGACCGGUAUUGACGCUGAGGUGCGAAAGCGUGGGGAGCAAACAGG